GAGUAGAUUUGAAGUAGAGUAGAUAAGUAGGAUCAUCUGAUCCUACUGAACUACCUUACUUCGAGUUUACGUCC
rnacentral:pre_miRNA from 1 species